UCUCAUUUCAGGCUUCCGUUGUGUGGCUUGGCGGCCUGCUGCUUCAUUCCCAUCAGAGCGCAAAGGCUGAAAGGGAAAGAAAUCUCCGUGACUGACGGCUGCUGUUUAUAACAAGUUUGACAUCUGGAAGAACCUCUGCGCAUACAGGAAAUGAACGGUUGCUUGCUCCAUGCUGGAAUGCACACCUACUUAGCAUGUGUUCAUGCAUGGACCUGAGAGUUGGACCAUAAAGAAAGCUGAGCACUGAAGAAC